GAUGAACGCUGGCGGCGUGCCUAAUACAUGCAAGUCGAGCGAACGGACGAGAAGCUUGCUUCUCUGAUGUUAGCGGCGGGCGGGUGAGUAACACGUGGAUAACCUACCUAUAAGACUGGGAUAACUUCGGGAAACCGUAGCUAAUACCGGAUAAUAUUUUGAACCGCAUGGUUGAAAAGUGAAAGACGGUCUUGCUGUCACUUAUAGAUGGAUCCGCGCUGCAUUAGCUAGUUGGUAAGGUAACGGCUUACCAAGGCAACGAUGCGUAGCCGACCUGAGAGGGUGAUAGGCCACCUUGGAACUGAGCCAGCGUCCAGACUCCUACGGGAGGCAGCAGUAGGGAAUCUUCCGCAAUGGGCGAAAGCCUGACGGAGCAACGCCGCGUGAGUGAUGAAGGUCUUCGGAGCGUAAAACUCUGUUAUUAGUGAAGAACAUAUGUGUAAGUAACUGUGCACAGCUUGACGGUACCUAAUCAGAAAGCCACGGCUAACUACGUG
rnacentral:rRNA from 1 species